AUACGGAGGAUGCGAGCGUUAUCCGGAUUUAUUGGGUUUAAAGGGUGCGUAGGCUGUGCGUUAAGUCAGGGGUGAAAUGCCGUCGCUCAACGACGGAGCUGCCCUUGAUACUGGCGUGCUGGAGUACGGAUGCCGUUGGAGGAAUGAGUGGUGUAGCGGUGAAAUGCUUAGAUAUCACUCAGAACACCGAUUGCAAAGGCAUCUCACGAACGGAUGAUGGACGCUCAGGCACGAAAGCGGGGGGAGCGAACAGAAUUAGAUACUCUGGUAGUCCACGCCGUAAACGAUGAUGACUAACCGCCGGCGAUAGAGUGUUCGGUGGCCAAGCGAAAGCGAUAAGUCAUCCACCUGGGGAGUACGACCGCAAGGUUGAAACUCAAAUGAAUUGGCGGGG
rnacentral:rRNA from 1 species